AAGGAUCAUUAUUGAAUAAACUUGGUUGGGUUGCUGCUGGCUCUUAGGGGCAUGUGCACGCCUAGCACCAUUUUUACCACCUGUGCACCUUUUGUAGACCUGGAUAUCUCUCGAGGAAACUCGGUCUGAGGUCUGCUGUGCGAAAGCCAGCUUUCCUUGCAUUUCCGGUCUAUGUUUUUAUAUACCCCAUCAGAAUGUUACAGAAUGUCAUUAAUGGGCUUUACCGCCUUUAAAUUAAUACAACUUUCAACAACGGAUCUCUUGGCUCUC
rnacentral:misc_RNA from 1 species